GCGGGGGUGCCACGGUCAUUUCCAGGCUGCCGCUUCAUUACUCCGAUGCAUCACGGCUGAAGGAGGAAACGCUAAUGCGAGAAAAUGCGGGCAAACCAGAAGAAUAGGAAGAAUGAAAAGAUCUCAAAAUUGAGAAUUUCUUCCUGGAGAAGGCUAAAAUACAACCAGAAGCAGAGAGCAAUGUCAGGGAAAGGUGGACUGUCAGCAGUCAUCAUUGUCAUUGAGUUCUACAAAUGAAGGUCCCAAUUGUCAUGGUCCGCAGUGGUUGGCUGAAAUUUCCAUUAGGCUCCUGAGCCUACCUGGGAUCCGCCCCUGGGGAGGACCACCUCCUCCAGUUCCUGCGCACCUGGAGCCGAUUGCAGGCAAUCAAGCCAAAGUGAUUUAAGCCUCACCCUGAUGUUCAUUCACUGCCAGUUUGUUUCAUUGCUUUUGUCCUUGCCACAGUUCCAAGCCUAAGCCUAACUAAUAAAAUAUUG